rnacentral:rRNA from 1 species
UACGAAGGGGGCUAGCGUUGUUCGGAAUCACUGGGCGUAAAGCGCACGUAGGCGGAUCUUUAAGUCAGGGGUGAAAUCCCGAGGCUCAACCUCGGAACUGCCUUUGAUACUGGGGAUGUCGAGUCCGGGAGAGGUGAGUGGAACUGCGAGUGUAGAGGUGAAAUUCGUAGAUAUUCGCAAGAACACCAGUGGCGAAGGCGGCUCAGUGGCCCGGAACUGACGCUGAGGUGCGAAAGCGUGGGGAGCAAACAGG